rnacentral:rRNA from 1 species
UUAUUGUAAAUUUUUUUCUUUAGAAUUAAAAGUGAUCUUUAAAUUAAAAAAGUUUGGCGGUAUUUAAGUCUAAUUAGAGGAAUUUGCAAUUUAAUCGAUGAUCCUCGAGAAUCUUUCCUUAAUUUGUAUAUCAGCUUAUAUACCGUUGUCUUCAAAUUUCACUAUUAGGUGUUUUUUUAAUAAUUUUUGUAAGUCAAAUCAAGGUGUAGUUUAUGUUGGGGUUAUUGUGAAUUACAUUAAUAGUAAUUAUACGGAUAUUGUUGUGUAAUUUUUAGUUGAAGGUGGAUUUAAUUGUAAAUUUUAUUUAUCGAAUUUUUUUGAAUUAGUAUUUAUAUAUGU